rnacentral:rRNA from 1 species
UACGGGGGGGGGCAAGCGUUGUCCGGAUUUAUUGGGCGUAAAGAGCUCGUAGGCGGCUUGUCGCGUCGUUCGUGAAAACUUGGGGCUCAACCCCAAGCUUGCGGUCGAUACGGGCAGGCUAGAGUUCGGUAGGGGGAGACUGGAAUUCCUGGUGUAGCGGUGAAAUGCGCAGAUAUCAGGAGGAACACCGGUGGCGAAGGCGGGUCUCUGGGCCGAUACUGACGCUGAGGAGCGAAAGCGUGGGGAGCGAACAGG